rnacentral:rRNA from 1 species
GAGUUUGAUCCUGGCUCAGAACGAACGUUGGCGGCGUGGAUUAGGCAUGCAAGUCGAACGAGAAAGGUUUCGCAAGAGACCUAGUAAAGUGGCGGAAGGGCGAGUAAUGCAUAGAUAACCUGCCCCCGAGAUGGGAAUAACCAUUCGAAAGAGUAGCUAAUACCCAAUAAGACCACAGAUCUUUGGAUCAGUGUUUAAAGAUAGGGACCCGCAAGGGCCUUUCGCUCGGUGAGGGGUUUAUGUCCUAUUAGCUAGUUGGUGAGGUAAUGGCUCACCAAGGCUUUGAUGGGUAGCCGACCUGAGAGGGUGACCGGCCGCACUGGGACUGAGAUACUGCCCAGACUCCUACGGGAGGCUGCAGUCGAGGAUCUUCCGCAAUGCGCGAAAGCGUGACGGAGCGACGCCGCGUGGGUGAUGAAGGCCUUCGGGUUGUAAAGCCCUAACACCUGGGAAGAAUGGCGGGAGGUGAAUAGCCAUCUCGCUUGACGCUACCAGGAGAGGAAGCACAGGCUAAAUACGUGCCAGCAGCCGCGGUAAUACGUAUGGUGCGAACGUUGUUCGGAAUCACUGGGCAUAAAGAGCACGUAGGCGGUUGGGCAAGUCCAUUGUGAAAUCCCCCGGCUUAACCGGGGAACUGCUGUGGAUACUGCUUG